AGCAAUGAUAUCACGUCUUAACAGCUUGUAGUAUUCUUGUUGGUCCACAUCCAUAGAACUUAAGUCCUUGUUCAUGAUUUCCAUUUCCUGAUUUAUCUUCUCCAAUUCAAACUUUCUCUCUCAAUUGCAAGUACUCCAACAUAACGCUCUUUUUUUCCUGCCUCUCUUGCUUCCUCUCUUGCAUUUCUUGCCAUCUCUCUUGCUUCCUCUCUUGCCCGUCUUUCCAUGUCUCUUGCUUCUUCCACCGCCGUCCUCUUUGAAAACACAAGAUCCAAAGCCAUCACAACAGAACUAUCAUCACUAGAGAUAACAUUUUAACCUCGACGUUGCCGCUCUUUCUCCGCCUUCUUGCCAAUAGGUCUCUUCAUGUGAUCCGCUUUGGCUGGAGAUGUAGUUUCAGAUUCAUCAAUAUGUACUGUGUCGGUUCCUGGAGUAGACAUACUUGGACUUGCAUUGGAGCUUGACUUUUGUUUUUUAUUACUUUGAGAUGACCUAUCAAUUUGAGCUAACCAUUUUUUAUUGAAACGUAGCAUGCUCCAACAGUGCAACAAAACAAAUGGUCUUUUAGACUUGUCUGUUGCUUUGUACAUUGA
rnacentral:lncRNA from 1 species